GGUAGCAACAUGCACAGAUCUGGUGUUUCAGUGCUCAUGCCACUGCUGCUGAAGGACAGCCUGGAGGAACAGGGCAUUCAGGGAGCAAAGACCGGAUUGACUGGGAAGGCAACAGAGAGCAGGGGUCCAGUGACCCCUCUGAGCAGAAUGGCAGAAGCGAGGCCCGGUGUCCACCUUGAUUUUGCGGAGCUCUUGGUUGCGGCUGGCUCCUUUGCGCUUCUCACCAGAGGCCUGACAAUAGGGAAUGGUUGCAGUUCUGCGGCUGAUUAGAAACCCAGAGCUGAACAAAGGCAUCCUCAGUCUUUUCAUUCUGCGAUUUUCUGCCUGUUGACUUUCCAGAACUGGCCGAUUUCUUUCACAUGCUUUAUACCAGAAGGAUCCAAAGGACUCAUCAGAUGAACAAAUUUCAAAGUGCCACUACCAAUUUUUUUCUUUAAGAAAUGCAUCAAGCAUCUGAUUCGCUGCUGAUAAAUUCUCUGUACCUGCUGAGAAGACAUCAUCUUUUUCUCAGACAUGAUGACCAGGAAGAAUGUUUCUCAGUUGUUAUAAAAAUCCUGAGUGUCUGCUUUGUUCCGGGGAGCACACAAAGGCUUUCCUCUCCAGCUUGUCAUGGAUUGGGGCUGCUUUUUUCAAGUGUUUUAUAAUAAUUAUUUGGCUUUUCACCCUUCUGCAUUC